UCGUGCUAGAUGGGGAGAUAGCGGUUCCCUGUACCCGCAAUCCGCUAUAGCGGGGUCGAAUUCCCGUCUAGAGGUCUUCGAGAUUUCGGCGCGAUCGGCGAUAAGUGGCGUCGAAGGUCGGAUUCUGCGCAACGCGAGGCUUCCGAACUCCGUCAGGACCGGAAGGUAGCAGCGGUAGGAAUGUCCCCGCGUGUGUUGCAGAGUUAUCCGACUGGAGCUAACUGGCGCCGGGAAAACCGGAAAUCGGGAUCGAAGAUGGGUGCACGG
rnacentral:SRP_RNA from 1 species